rnacentral:rRNA from 1 species
GAUGAACGCUAGCGACAGGCUUAACACAUGCAAGUCGAGGGGCAUCAAGGAUGUAGCAAUACAUCUGUUGGCGACCGGCGCACGGGUGAGUAACGCGUAUGCAACCUACCUACCAGAGGGGAAUAACCCGGCGAAAUCGGACUAAUACCGCAUAAAACAGGGGUCUCGCAUGAGACUAUUUGUUAAAGAUUUAUUGCUGGUAGAUGGGCAUGCGUUCCAUUAGUUAGUUGGUAAGGUAACGGCUUACCAAGGCGUCGAUGGAUAGGGGUUCUGAGAGGAAGGUCCCCCACACUGGUACUGAGACACGGACCAGACUCCUACGGGAGGCAGCAGUGAGGAAUAUUGGUCAAUGGGCGAGAGCCUGAACCAGCCAAGUCGCGUGAAGGAUGACGGAUCUAUGGUUUGUAAACUUCUUUUAUACGGGAAUAAAGUGUGGCACGUGUGCCAUUUUGUAUGUACCGUAAUGAAUAAGCAUCGGCUAACUCCGUGCCAGCAGCCGCGGUAAUACGGAGGAUGCGAGCGUUAUCCGGAUUUAUUGGGUUUAAAGGGUGCGUAGGUUGUAGAUUAAGUCAGCGGUGAAAGUUUGUCGCUUAACGAUAAAAUUGCCGUUGAAACUGGUUUACUUGAGUAUAGUUGAAGUAGGCGGAAUGCGUGGUGUAGCGGUGAAAUGCAUAGAUAUCACGCAGAACUCCGAUUGCGAAGGCAGCUUACUAAGUUAUAACUGACACUGAAGCACGAAAGCGUGGGUAUCAAACAGGAUUAGAUACCCUGGUAGUCCACGCAGUAAACGAUGAUUACUAGCUGUUUGCGAUAUAGCGUAAGUGGCACAGCGAAAGCGUUAAGUAAUCCACCUGGGGAGUACGCCGGCAACGGUG